rnacentral:misc_RNA from 1 species
CACAGGGUCAGGUUCUCGUGUUUGUAGAGGAUUAUAUUCUUGUAAGGGAGUCUCAGGAAUUGGGUUGCCACAGAAUGCACCGAUAUCUACAUGCUGUGUUUAUGAGUCACCUAUUCAACUUGCAGGCUACACAUUGGAUCUUCCCAAACUCCAAUGCUCUUCAUAUACAUCAGUAUACAGUUUUGGGGGCAAUGAGGGAGAUCCGAUGAAAUGGAAUUUUGGGAUAUCUCUACAAUAUAAUGGUUCAUAUUAUAGUAAUAUCUGCAAGGAUUGUGAAUCUAGUGGGGGCUUGUGUGGCUUUGCAGGUUUUGAUCGGUCAUUUGCCUGCAUAUGCCGGAAUGGGAAGAAUACAACCACCAGUUGCUUUGCUCAAGGGCUUGCCUGGAGCGGGACAUGGNNNNGUUCACGCCAUUUCUUUUUUUGUUCAAUCAUUAAACUGGUCCAGCAGGGCUUGUGGGCUGU